rnacentral:lncRNA from 1 species
CAGGUCAGAAGAGUAACUGAAAAUACAUCUACACUAAAGCUUUUAUAAGACACUAGGUUGUAUCAAUGUGGUAUAAAGUUUGGGGACUAAAGUUUAGAAGUAAACUAACAGUGUGAUAAAACCAGUCAGCCAUUCUGAGAGAGCAGCCACCAAGCAAGUCAUAGGAAACGCCACAUCACCAAACUAAAACACCCAUCACUCCACUGGUCAAACGGAAAGUUAUACACAGUCCUUAAGGAGAACAAGCGGAUACCCAAGAACACAGACUUAGAGUCCUGUCUUACACUUUAGUGCCCUUUGCAAAAUAUGUUCAUGUCUCACUUUAUCCAUUCAAAGG